UACAGAGGGUGCGAGCGUUAAUCGGAAUUACUGGGCGUAAAGCGCACGUAGGCGGCUUGGUAUGUCGGGUGUGAAAUCCCCGGGCUCAACCUGGGAACUGCAUCCGAAACUGCCUUGCUCGAGUAUGGGAGAGGGAAGUGGAAUUUCCGGUGUAGCGGUGAAAUGCGUAGAUAUCGGAAGGAACAUCAGUGGCGAAGGCGACUUCCUGGACCAAUACUGACGCUCAGGUGCGAAAGCGUGGGGAGCGAACGGG
rnacentral:rRNA from 1 species